rfam:Stegodyphus mimosarum contig24161, whole genome shotgun sequence.
GCCUUCGUGGUGUAACGGUCAACACACUCGGCGCGCAUUCCAGAGGUCUGAGGUUCGAAUCCCGGUGAGUGCA